GCCGGGUGUGGUGGUGCACGCCUGUAAUCCCAGCUACUUGGGAGGCUGAGGCAGGAGAAUCGCUUGAACCUAGGAGGCAGAGGUUGCAGUGAGCGGAGAUCGUGCCACUGCACUCCAGCCUGGGCGACAGAGUGAGACUCUGUCUCAA
rfam:Homo sapiens chromosome 16, GRCh38 reference primary assembly.